rnacentral:rRNA from 1 species
UCAACCUNGNAACUGCAUUUUUAACUGCCGAGCUAGAGUAUGUCAGAGGGGGGUAGNNUUCCACGUGUAGCAGUGAAAUGCGUAGAUAUGUGGAGGAAUACCGAUGGCGAAGGCAGCCCCCUGGGAUAAUACUGACGCUCAGACACGAAAGCGUGGGGAGCAAACAGGAUUAGAUACCCUGGUAGUCCACGCCNUAAACGAUGUCAACUAGCUGUUGGGGCCGUUAGGCCUUAGUAGCGCAGCUAACGCGUGAAGUUGACCGCCUGGGGAGUACGGUCGCAAGAUUAAAACUCAAAGGAAUUGACGGGGACCCGCACAAGCGGUGGAUGAUGUGGAUUAAUUCGAUGCAACGCGAAAAACCUUACCUACCCUUGACAUGUCUGGAAUGCCGAAGAGAUUUGGCAGUGCUCGCAAGAGAACCGGAACACAGGUGCUGCAUGGUUGUCGUCAGCUCGUGUCGUGAGAUGUUGGGUUAAGUCCCGCAACGAGCGCAACCCUUGUCAUUAGUUGCUACGCAAGAGCACUCUAAUGAGACUGCCGGUGACAAACCGGAGGAAGGUGGGGAUGACGUCAAGUCCUCAUGGCCCUUAUGGGUAGGGCUUCACACGUCAUACAAUGGUCGGGACAGAGGGUCGCCAACCCGCGAGGGGGAGCCAAUCUCAGAAACCCGAUCGUAGUCCGGAUCGCAGUCUGCAACUCGACUGCGUGAAGUCGGAAUCGCUAGUAAUCGCGGAUCAGAAUGUCGCGGUGAAUACGUUCCCGGGUCUUGUACACACCGCCCGUCACACCAUGGGAGUGGGUUUCACCAGAAGUAGGUAGCCUAACCGUAAGGAGGGCGCUUACCACGGUGGGAUUCAUGACUGGGGUGAAGUCGUAACAAGGUAGCCGUAUCGGAAGGUGCGGCUGGAUCACCUCCUU